GACGAACGCUGGCGGCGUGCUUAACACAUGCAAGUCGAACGGAAAGGCCCUGCUUUUGUGGGGUGCUCGAGUGGCGAACGGGUGAGUAACACGUGAGUAACCUGCCCUUGACUUUGGGAUAACUUCAGGAAACUGGGGCUAAUACCGGAUAGGAGCUCCUGCUGCAUGGUGGGGGUUGGAAAGUUUCGGCGGUUGGGGAUGGACUCGCGGCUUAUCAGCUUGUUGGUGGGGUAGUGGCUUACCAAGGCUUUGACGGGUAGCCGGCCUGAGAGGGUGACCGGCCACAUUGGGACUGAGAUACGGCCCAGACUCCUACGGGAGGCAGCAGUGGGGAAUAUUGCACAAUGGGCGGAAGCCUGAUGCAGCAACGCCGCGUGCGGGAUGACGGCCUUCGGGUUGUAAACCGCUUUCGCCUGUGACGAAGCGUGAGUGACGGUAAUGGGUAAAGAAGCACCGGCUAACUACGUGCCAGCAGCCGCGGUGAUACGUAGGGUGCGAGCGUUGUCCGGAUUUAUUGGGCGUAAGGGCUCGUAGGUGGUUGAUCGCGUCGGAAGUGUAAUCUUGGGGCUUAACCCUGAGCGUGCUUUCGAUACGGGUUGACUUGAGGAAGGUAGGGGAGAAUGGAAUUCCUGGUGGAGCGGUGGAAUGCGCAGAUAUCAGGAGGAACACCAGUGGCGAAGGCGGUUCUCUGGGCCUUUCCUGACGCUGAGGAGCGAAAGCGUGGGGAGCGAACAGGCUUAGAUACCCUGGUAGUCCACGCUGUAAACGGUGGGUACUAGGUGUGGGGUCCAUUCCACGGGUUCCGUGCCGUAGCUAACGCUUUAAGUACCCCGCCUGGGGAGUACGGCCGCAAGGCUAAAACUCAAAGGAAUUGACGGGGCCCCGCACAAGCGGCGGAGCAUGCGGAUUAAUUCGAUGCAACGCGUAGAACCUUACCUGGGUUUGACAUGGAUCGGGAGUGCUCAGAGAUGGGUGUGCCUCUUUUGGGGUCGGUUCACAGGUGGUGCAUGCCUGUCGUCAGCUCGUGUCGUGAGAUGUUGGGUUAAGUCCCGCAACGAGCGCAACCCUUGUUCACUGUUGCCAGCACGUUAUGGUGGGGACUCAGUGGAGACCGCCGGGGUCAACUCGGAGGAAGGUGGGGAUGACGUCAAGUCCUCAUGCCCCUUAUGUCCAGGGCUUCACGCAUGCUACAAUGGCUGGUACAGAGAGUGGCGAGCCUGUGAGGGUGAGCGAAUCUCGGAAAGCCGGUCUCAGUUCGGAUUGGGGUCUGCAACUCGACCUCAUGAAGUCGGAGUCGCUAGUAAUCGCAGAUCAGCAACGCUGCGGUGAAUACGUUCCCGGG
rnacentral:rRNA from 1 species